GCAGGGAACCUGAGGAGGGAGCGUCCCCUGACCGCUGCAGGACCCCGUGUGCCUCCCCUUCUCGGAGUUGAUGACGCUGUUGUCUUUCUGCCCUGGUGUGGCCCUUACUCGUCUCCUGCUCUGUGACCUCUCCAGCGUUGUUUUAGUAGCUAACUCACUGUUUAACUGUCUGUAGGUGUUUCUUCCCGUCAACUAAAAUCAAAGUUUCUGGAAAGCGGAGCCCAUUCACAGGCCGCUGUGUAUAAAGGAGGAGCUCAGUCGGUGCCUGCUGCCUUUCCCUUCUCAGUCAAUGCUUCCUGAAAAAGUUUGAGCUGGAAACGGUAUGGAUUAGUAUGAGAUGAUGCUCCUACUUGGUGACAUGGUUUCAUAACAGCAGAGGAGGGUCUCACCACUAGAAAGUGGGACCCCUGCAGUGGGAAAUGAAGACUUCUGAGGAGAGAAGGGAUUGGGUGAACGUGGCCUUUUAGGAAUAACACUGGCAACGGUGAGCAGGAAGUCUGGAGGAAGGAGAGGGAUUAGGAAAAGGAAAUGGUUGGAGAAGAAGCAGACAAGUAGCCUGGAGGACAGCACAGAAUGAGGACUCCAUCUUGGUCCCAGGAGCCUGGUUCCUGGCCCCUGAAUGUCCCAGAUAGUAAGGAGCAGGGCCAGAAUUACAAUCCCAUCCUGCCAACACCUUCAGCCUCUGCUUCAUCAUGAGGACAGAUUAGAUGGUGAGUUAUCAAAGGGGCAGAAUGGGGUGGGAUUCAUCAGAAGCUGUGAGCACUUCGAGUUGGAAAUCAGGCUAAUUCAUGUCUGAAUCCCAUUGCCCAGCACAGUUCCUGGAAUGCAGGAUGUACUUAAUUUUGUUGAAAGAAUGAAUGGGGGGAAUGAAUGAGUGUUGAAGAUGAUGUUCAGGUCAUCUUUGUGGCUUGAAGUAUCUGGGUUUUGAGUUUCCUGGAAGAUGGGAUGUACUAGAAAAUACAUAACUUGCUGCCUCUCCUCCUUUUGGCAUGAAGAACUCUCCAGGGACCUUUGAGAGGAGGGCAGACAGCCAUGGGCCUGGAUAGAGGGUAGGUGGAAAGUUCUGCCAAGCAAAGGCCAAAGUUGGUUCCUCUCUGGAGUCCAUACAUCCAGAAGUGUCCAGGUGUUUGCUGAGCCCUCCCUGAUGUCCCAGAUCACAUUAUCCCAUGGGGAUCCCACCGCUCCACCAUAUCCUAAAUGGGUCUCAUGGCAGCUGGGUCCCAACACAGGCUAGUUCUCUUGUUGGGCACAUAUUGACAGUGCCAUUGGAGCUCACAGCAGGAAGAAACCUCAUAGGGCCCAUUGCCUGUGUGGUGGCCAUGAGAACAAGCCCUGCAGACCCCCAGCUACCGAGACUGUAUUUGACCAAGGGCCCUGGCUGCUACACUCUGAAAUCCAUCGCUGAGUUUGUGCUGAAGCUACACUUCCCAUCGGCUGCUCCCAGCCCAUGACCUACUGCAGCAGGGAUACUGAGGCAGGCCCAUUAUGGGGGAGUCGGGACCCCUCUGAUGGCCACCUUUGGUGAGAGGACUUUCCCAGGGCCUUGCCAAACCUCUCUCAGACCACACAGCAGUCUAGGAAGCUUCCACCCAAACUUUCUUCCCUUUCUCCUCCACUAGAAGUCAGAUUUGCCUCACAGACCGAUGUUUCUCCAGCAUUCCCAGCUUCCUCCUCAUUUCCUCUCACAGAUAUUUCCUCUAAUAGAAUUUUUUGCAUGUUUAAAACCAUCUUGGCAUCUGUUUCUCAGAAGACGUGCUGUGUCUCUGCAGGGCUGCACCUGAGCCACCCCCAACAUGAGGGUCUCACUCAUACUCUAAAGGAUUUGUGGGAAGACAAUCCCACCAUCUUCAUCCAUCAUGCACUGGGCACCUCAUGGUUCUUACAGCCUGAGGAUAUAUCUGCAAGUCUAACUUAACACCUUUCUGCUGCAAUUUAGGUCCAGACCCUCCUGAUGAAGAAAGAGAGCUGGACAUCCAGCUGGGGCAAGGAGGGGCCCAAGAGAAGCUGAGCACUCACCUUAUCCCCUAGACAGGCCUCGAUCAGCAGCCCCCAGAAGUCUGUAAAGGUGACCUUGUAGCCUUCCUGGCUACGUUGCCAAAGCUCCUCCUUGGCUUUGAGGAGCUGGUCUGGGAACAGAGCAGGCAUCUUGUCCUUUACCACGUGUCUCCGGGCCUCGAAGAUGGCAGGUUCCAGGUUUUUAGAGGACCAUUCGGGAUCUUGGUACAAGGUACCCAUGGUCCUGGAGAGAGACAGGCAUUGCUGAUAGAGCUGCCCCAGGUUCAGUCAAGCCUUGACCCUGGUGGGAGAGAAGGUGGGCAGGCCAGCAGAAGCCCUAAUUUGCCAGGAGAAGAGCUGGAAGGAAGGAAACCCGGGGCGGGGGGCUUUGAACAUAACUACCGAGAAACAAAAUUGCUACCAUUUCUUGCACACCUAUCCCGUGCUAGUAUAACAUAUUGGUUAAGAGUGAGGAUUCUGGAACAGAUCUUCUGGUUUCAAAACCAGGCUCUGCCAAUCAGCAGCUCAGUGAUCUUGUCCAUAUCACUUACCCUCUCUUCACCUCAGUUUCUGUAUCUGUGGAAUGGGGAGAAUUAUAAUAGUAGCUAUUCAUGGAGUUCUUGUGAAGAUUAAAUGAGUUAGUGUCAAGUGGUUAGAGCAAUACAUUGGCACGGUUGGUGAAAGUACAGGUUAACGGACAGAUUUCCUUAAGAAAAAGCAACCUGCUUUCUAUAAGGUUUACUCUGUUACUUUUAUCCUUUUAAAAACCUUUAAAAAACAAAACAUUAAAAAUGGUCAUUUUAAAAAGAAUACUUCGCAGUUCUUUCCCCAGGCCGGGCAAACCCUCACCCUGGCUGCAUCCGAGUUCCUCCCAGCCCCCUGCCCUGGGCCAGGAAGAUGCAGGUGCCCUAGACCCUGAUGGAAGCAAGUUUUCUCCCUUAUCUACCAUGAGGAGGUUAAGAACAUGAACCCUGGAGUCAGACGGCCUGGGUUCAAAUCCUAGCUCUACUAUUUACUAGCUGAGUGAUCCAGGGUGAAUUGCUUUACUGCUCUGUGCCUUUGUUUCCCCGGCUAUAAAAUGAGCAUGAUGAUAACACGUUCCUCAUAGGGUUGCUGUGAGGAAAAAUGAGAUGCUCCAUAGAAAGCAGAAAGCAGUCACCACAUUGCUUGACACAGAGUCAGCGCUUGAUACCUGUCAGCUCUUCCUUCUCUCCCAUUUGGGUUGAUGCCUCCUGGCCCCUGAUGAGGAAGGCUCGACGCCAGGAGCCCUGAGGCUCUCCUAAGAUACAGAAACGGAGUCUCAGAGAAGUUGAGCUGAAUGCCCAAGGUCACACAGCUAUAAGUGGCAGAGCUGCCCAGACUCACUCCAGCUUGGAGGGGAGGAGGGGUCUCCACCAGAGCCUCCAGGCCGGCCUUUGCUGCUUGCUCUGGACUCCAUGAGGCGGUGGCUCCCGGCUCCUUACCAGGUGGCCCCCGACAGGCCGGUGAUAUAGCUGGCACAGUUCAGGAUGUUCAGCUUCUGCAGCCCCAGCAGGUGGCCGUACAUGGAAGUCAUGGAUCUGGUCCCACCGCCGGUGGCCAUGAUGGCUAUCAGCGGUACCUAGGGGGACACAGAGGCAGUCAGCUGGGGAGGGCUCCAGAGACAAGUGGGGUGGACGAAGCCUUGGAAUGACAGACAGAGAGCUGGCCACAGAGAGAGAGAGUGGGGCACUGAGACUCCUGACACGCCCCACCUCCUGGCAGAGCUGGCGGGUCUAGAAUGAGACCUUAGCUCCACAUGCAAUGGUUGGUGUCUAUAAAGGGCUCUGAAGCCCAGCACGAGGCUUGACACCUUGUAGAAGGUCAUGGCUGGAAGUUCUUAGCACUGUUGAUCCAAC